CGGUAUAGCUCAGGGGUAGAGCGGCUCACUCGUAAUGAGCAGGUCAAGGGUUCAAUUCCCUUUCCCG
rnacentral:tRNA from 1 species